GAUGAAGAACGUAGCGAAAUGCGAUAAGUAAUGUGAAUUGCAGAAUUCAGUGAAUCAUCGAGUCUUUGAACGCACAUUGCGCCCCCUGGUAUUCCGGGGGGCAUGCCUGUCCGAGCGUCAUUGCUGCCCUCAAGCACGGCUUGUGUGUUGGGCCCCCGCCCCCCGGCUUCGGGGGGCGGGCCCGAAAGGCAGCGGCGGCACCGCGUCCGGUCCUCGAGCGUAUGGGGCUUCGUCACCCGCUCUGUAGGCCCGGCCGGCGCCCGCCGGCGACCCCAAUCGAUCUUUCCAGGUUGACCUCGGAUCAGGUAGGGAUACCCGCUGAACUUAAGCAUAUCAAUAAGCGGAGGA
rnacentral:misc_RNA from 1 species